rnacentral:rRNA from 1 species
AGGCUUAACACAUGCAAGUCGAGCGCCCCGCAAGGGGAGCGGCAGACGGGUGAGUAACGCGUGGGAAUCUACCUUUUGCUACGGAAUAACGCAGGGAAACUUGUGCUAAUACCGUAUGUGUCCUUCGGGAGAAAGAUUUAUCGGCAAGAGAUGAGCCCGCGUUGGAUUAGCUAGUUGGUGGGGUAAAGGCCUACCAAGGCGACGAUCCAUAGCUGGUCUGAGAGGAUGAUCAGCCACAUUGGGACUGAGACACGGCCCAAACUCCUACGGGAGGCAGCAGUGGGGAAUAUUGGACAAUGGGCGCAAGCCUGAUCCAGCCAUGCCGCGUGAGUGAUGAAGGCCCUAGGGUUGUAAAGCUCUUUCACCGGAGAAGAUAAUGACGGUAUCCGGAGAAGAAGCCCCGGCUAACUUCGUGCCAGCAGCCGCGGUAAUACGAAGGGGGCUAGCCGUUGUUCGGAAUUACUGGGCGUAAAGCGCACGUAGGCGGAUCGAUCAGUCAGGGGUGAAAUCCCAGGGCUCAACCCUGGAACUGCCUUUGAUACUGUCGAUCUGGAGUAUGGAAGAAGUGAGUGGAAUUCCGAGUGUAGAGGUGAAAUUCGUAGAUAUUCGGAGGA